rnacentral:lncRNA from 1 species
AUGACAUCAGCUCAGCUUUUCUGGCUGUUUGUGAUCAGCUUUCCUUCCCUCGGACACCUCAGCACAGGAAUUUCAGGGCCCUUCCCAGCUCCAGGAGGCUGCCCCAGGAUUGGGAUGAGUUUCAGCCAGGACAGCACCAGGAGUUCUGUGGGAUCCAAUCCUGUUUUUCCUGAUUUCCUGGGAAUGUUCACUCGGUUCCUCUCACGCAGGUGUCGGAGGGAAGAUGCUGCUGGAUGGCUCAGGGGAUCAGAGGUUGGGGUUGUAGUGACAGGCAGGAGGAAAUCACCCUCCUUUCACUUCUAUUUUUUUCUUAUUUCCUUUUCCUUCUUCUUUUAAAAAUCUUUUUAGGUUUUAUUUUUUCUGAUUUUCUUUCCUUUAUAUAUUUGUUUUCCAUUUUUCUUUUCCCCCUUUUUCUUUUCUCCUUUUGUAUUUUUUUUCUUUGCUGUUGUCUUUUUUUACUUUUCCUUUUUUAAAUUUCUUUUUCUACUAUUUUUUCUUUUUCUUUUUCUCUUUUUUUUGGUCCUUUUUUUCCUUUUUCUUUUCCCUUUUUCUUCUUCCUUUUUUUCUUUUCCAUUUUCCCUUUUUAAUAUUUUUAUCUUUAUAUUUUUUACCUUUUUAUAAUUUUUAUUGUUACCUUUUUUAUAUUUUUUAAUCCUUUUUAUCUUUUUUAUCUUUUCUAUCUUUUCCUAUUUUUUUAUUUUUAUCUUUUGCAUCUCUUUUAUAUAUAUUUUUUUAACUUUUUAAUAUUUUUAAAUAAUUUUUUUUCUUUGUAUUUUUUAAUCCUUUUUAUCUUUUUAAUCUUUUCCCCUUCCUUUUU